CGGCGCUACAUUGCACAUCGAUAGCACGAUAGUAAGAGUCGGUUAAUGUGUGCUGGGAAGGAAGCUCUUCCAUUUGGUUUUUGGAGGUGUUGGAGGUCACAGUUUCAGUAUGAGAGAAAAUCAUCCAUGCAGGUGCUGGCUUACACUUGAUGGAGAAGUUGAUGUUUUUCCCGAGGCCUGGUUUUCCUUGUGUAGAGAGGAUAUUGUUUGGAUGUGGAGGACGUGAGAUUGUACUAAGGAGAGAAUGGUGCAUCAUUAAGUGUUUUACUUGGAGAGAGGGGGGUUAAAGGACUUGCUGCCAAAUGAUUGCUGAACUGGGUUGAAUUGUUCCUUGCGCUUCGAGUUGUGGACAAUGUUGAAUCAGGAAGGAGAGGACCUAAAGGCGCGUUCUCACGAAUCAAGUUUAAUUGACCAAUUAUAGUUGAUCAACAAAAGUUGAAUGAAAUCUGUAGUGAGAACCUUUGUUUUGAUAGAGUUGAUCAACUUUUUAGUGGAUCAAGAAAAGUUUGACCCAGUCAAACUUUAUCAUUCAAGUGAUGAGUCAUCCGCCAUUUGCUUUCAAGUUGAAUCCUGUCUUGAAACGUGUGAACUUCAGUUGAUUGUCAAGUUUGCUUUCAACUGGUCACACCACUCCUGCAUGUGUUUUGUUUUUAGUUUUUUGUGUUGUGUUUUUAGUUAAAAAAUGAGCCUCAAGUGGUCUGAAAGUGUGAUGCUAAAAUUCUUAGAACUUUAUCAUAAGCAUGAUUGUUUUUGGAACCACCGACUGGAUAAAUAUAAAAAUAAAGAUGCAGGAGAAAAUGCUUUGGGUUCUAUUGUCAAAGAAAUGGAAAUUGCUGGUCUUAAUAUUGCUGAUCUGAAGAACAAAAUUAAGACGAUUAGAACGAUGUAUUAAGAAGAACGUUCAUUGGUUUGCAAAUAAAAAAAAGUGGAAUGGGAACAGAGGAAUCGAUUUCUUCUUAAUAUCCAUUGCCUCACCCAAAAACGACGUUUCUUACGAUUUUUGCUCAUUUUAAAUAAAAUUGUUUUUAGUUCUUUUAAUAAAGGAUACUAUCAGUACAGCUUCACGCACAGCUGCUUUCGACGCUUUUUUAACUGAAACUGUUGAUCAGUUUCUAUUGUAAAUGUGUGAACAAAAACUGAUUCAAGUCAUAUACAACUUUCGUUGGUCAACUAUAAUCGGUCGAUUAAACUUGAUUCGUGAGAACGCGCCUUUACUUUCUUCAACAAAGUACUUGGUUUGGACUUGCGGUGUAUCACCGCCAUUCGACAAAGUUGAUGGUUUCAUCGGCUGCCUUUGCUGUGUUCUGUUGUGAUAUCAAAUCUACGUGGAAGAUCCUCGAUGGAAGUAUCAUUUUUGGCAUCAGCUGUAAUUUGUGUAAGUUAUUCUUUCUUCUCCAACCCCAACCCCCUUAAGUGUUAUGGGCUGAAGAUUUUUGGUCCUAGCAGACAAACUCUUUUUAUAUGUAAUUAUUGUUUUUCUAGCCAAUGAUUUUAAUUCCGUAACCCAGUCAAUCUGAAUAUACUUUGACUGAUGAAAUAUUCUGAGGCUAAGAAACGAGGAAGGUGGAUAAUAAAUUAAUUAUACUGUUUUCUUUAUCCUUGUGUGGUUUGAUUACAUUUUUAAAUUAGGGAAUGUUUGGUACUUCAUUUCUUCUGUCCAUAGUUUUGUGGCUGCUGAUCUUGCUUUUGUGUGCAAGAUGGUUUGGUGUUCAGGUGAGCCAGCAUUUGUAAGAAGACUGAUAAAUUGCAAUAAAAAUUUUGAUAUAGCAUUAAAGUUUUCUUAUUUUGUGAUGUCACCUGUGUCUGACCUUUAUUAACCAUCAGUGAAUACUCAUGUGGUACAGACUGGGUACUAAGUGCACUUGCUGAGAGGAGAACAUCUGUCCUUUGUGUAUGUUUGGUACUUUGUUGUUCCACUGUUGGAUUUCUUAUUAAUUCCUUUAUUAGUCAUUUGAUUAAUGGUUGUAGUUAGCUGUUGCUUAUUCUACUUCACUUUUUGAUGUAAAUACGUUUAUAUAUUGAAGGGUCAUUCUGCAAAAAAAGUGACAGGAAAAUGUGUAACAUGGUUACCUAGGAAAUAUUAGCAAUUUGUAAAUAUGGACACAAUAUUGGUCAGCUUAUAUGCAUUAUGUUACCUAGGAAACGUCGUGUUUAUUCGGCAGUGUGUUGAAAGGAGAAGCUGAGAAUAGGGAAAACUGGUGAACUUUUUUGGGCAGAACGACGGACCUGCCGGAUAGAACACUAAAUAAUUACUGCUGUCAACAAUCUGCUUUCGUUAUUGCGGAAAGAGCUGAGCUGUGAAACGCUUAUAGAAGAAUGCGCUGUAGACUUGAUUUAAGCUACCACAGACCCAUCCUAAGUGUAAUUAAUUCAAGGUUCUAGUUUCAUCAUUAAAAAGAAGGCUCUGAUUCGUCUGAACAGGACAGGAGCAGUGCGUGCCAGUGCAGGAGGCUUUGGAUAUCUUAAAGAAUGGAUUUGGUGGGCAGGAUUACUUUCAAGCUAACUGUUGUUGUUGUUGGUGGUGGUGAUGGUACUAGGUGCCGUCAUGGCUGCUAGAAGUAUAUUUUCAUACUCACCAUGGGCUAGUUCGGUGGACUAAUGGUUAGCGUGAUCGCCACUGGACCCAUUGUCCUCGGGUUCAAACCCGGCCGAGGUCGAUGGAUUUUUUUAAGGGUGACAAAAAUCCGUACCACAACUUCCUUUGGAGGGGAAGUAAAGCUGGCAGCCCCUUGUUGUUCAUUUACGGCAUGUUGAAGAACCUUGUGGGCAUGAACGAGAUGUUCAUGAUGGGCUUGUUCAUCCAGACUGGUGGCAACUAGUUUUCUAGUCUUUGACUUAAAUAUAUUAGACAUAAUUUUUAAACAAAUGAUGUUCUGUGUGUUGCUAAAGUUUGUGCUUUGUUUAAAAUGAAUUAUAAGCAUAUUGCAAAACUA